rnacentral:tRNA from 1 species
GUGCCGCUGGCUCAACAGGCAGAGCAGCUGACUCUUGUUCAGCGGGUUCGGGGUUCGACUCCCCGGCGGCGCAC